rnacentral:rRNA from 1 species
UAAAGUGUAAAUUAGUUAUUAUUAAAUUAUUAUAAGUUAUAGUCUUUAAAAUUAAAAAAUUUGGCGGUAUUUUAGUCUUUUCAGAGGAACCUGUUCUAUAAUUGAUAAUCCACGAUUAGAAUUACUUAUUUUAAUAAUUUGUAUAUCGUUGUAAUUGAAUAUUUUAAGAGAAUAUUAAAUGUUCAAAAUUUUUAAAUAAAAAAUAAAUCAAAUCAAGGUGCAGUUUAUAAAUAAGAAGAAAUGGGUUACAAUAAAAAUAUUUUUGGUUUUUUAAUUUAAACAUUAAGGAUAAAUUGGAUUUGAAAGUAAUUUAAUUAAUUUAAAUUAAAUGAUUUUAGCUCUAAAAUAUGC